rnacentral:rRNA from 1 species
AGAGUUUGAUCCUGGCUCAGAUUGAACGCUGGCGGCAUGCUUUCACAUGCAAGUCGAACGGCAGCACGAGUGCUUGCACUUGGUGGCGAGUGGCGAACGGGUGAGUAAUACAUCGGAACGUGUCCUAAAGUGGGGGAUAACGCAUCGAAAGAUGUGCUAAUACCGCAUAAUCUCUCAGGAGGAAAGCAGGGGAUCGAAAGACCUUGCGCUUUUGGAGCGGCCGAUGUCUGAUUAGCUAGUUGGUAGGGUAAUGGCUUACCAAGGCGACGAUCAGUAGUUGGUCUGAGAGGAUGGCCAACCACACUGGGACUGAGACACGGCCCAGACUCCUACGGGAGGCAGCAGUGGGGAAUUUUGGACAAUGGGGGAAACCCUGAUCCAGCAAUGCCGCGUGAGUGAAGAAGGCCUUCGGGUUGUAAAGCUCUUUCAGUUGAGAAGAAAAAGUUGUGACUAAUAAUCAUAAUUCAUGACGGUAUCGACAGAAGAAGCACCGGCUAACUACGUGCCAGCAGCCGCGGUAAUACGUAGGGUGCGAGCGUUAAUCGGAAUUACUGGGCGUAAAGGGUGCGCAGGCGGUUAUGUAAGUCAGAUGUGAAAUCCCCGGGC